GCAGGGGCUCUAAAGAGCCCAAAACCCUAACUCAAACAAAUCACCAAAAUUGAAGGGUGAAUCGAAGCUCAAAUUCAGGAAGGAAUACGAAUUAAUGAUCACCUACUCAAGGGGAUCAUAAGGAUCAUGUCAAGAUGGGGGAAAGCAUGGAAGGCUAACGGAAAGGAUAUGAGGAAGCAUGUACGAAACGGGCACUCGAGGUACAUUAUUGAAGUUUCGCCAAGGAUUAGACACCCGGAUGGAAUGAUUAAAUCUAGAAAGAUAACGGGAUGGAAAGUAUAUGUGGAUAUAACGUAACGAGUCUACAUGAUUGAGAAUCUUG